AUCAUGGGAUCGCUGUGCAGACAGGAACUAGCCAUGAUUUCGCAUCGGACACCGUAUAACGGCCUUUAGCUCUUUUACCCGCGCACAGGCGAACAAUUUGAUAACAUGAUAGAGUUUCUGUUUGCUCCAUCCAUUGAGCUAAGAUAAUAUGCAUACAAUUAAACAGACAGGUGAUUGGCUUAAAAACAAUCACAUACAUGUGAAUGAUGAUUGGUUGAAGGCUUGUGUGGAAUGGAUACAAGAAGAGAACCAGGGACAAGGGUUGACAAAUGAUGAUAUAAAUUCUCAAGUGUACGAACAAUGGUUGUUGGCAGAUCUUCACGAGUUAGAGACAUGCUGUCUUCCAGGGGAGAUCACUACAUCACAGAAAUUUGAAUUGAUUGGAACUUACGCUUUACAGGUACUAUGCAUUAAAUGUCAGUUACAC